GGAUGAACGCUAGCGGCAGGCCUAACACAUGCAAGUCGAACGGCAGCACAGAGUAGCAAUACUUGGGUGGCGAGUGGCGCACGGGUGCGGAACACGUACGCAACAUACCCUUUACAGGGGGAUAGCCCGGAGAAAUCCGGAUUAACACCCCAUAGUGUAGCUGGGAGGCAUCUCCCUACUACUAAAAAUUUAUUGGUAAAGGAUUGGCGUGCGUCCCAUUAGAUAGUUGGCGGGGUAACGGCCCACCAAGUCAGCGAUGGGUAGCUGGUGUGAGAGCACGACCAGCCACACGGGCACUGAGACACGGGCCCGACUCCUACGGGAGGCAGCAGUGAGGAAUAUUGGUCAAUGGACGCAAGUCUGAACCAGCCAUGCCGCGUGGAGGAUGACAGCCUUCUGGGUUGUAAACUUCUUUUAUAUGGGAAGAAAAGUACGGUUUCUACUGUAUCCGACGGUACCAUAUGAAUAAGCACCGGCUAACUCCGUGCCAGCAGCCGCGGUAAUACGGAGGGUGCAAGCGUUAUCCGGAUUUACUGGGUUUAAAGGGUGUGUAGGCGGACAUUUAAGUCAGAGGUGAAAUCUCCGGGCUCAACCCGGAAACUGCCUUUGAUACUAUUUGUCUUGAAUUUCGUUGAGGUUGGCGGAAUAUAUCAUGUAGCGGUGAAAUGCAUAGAUAUGAUAUAGAACACCGAUUGCGAAGGCAGCUGGCUGAACGACGAUUGACGCUGAGGCACGAAAGCGUGGGUAGCGAACAGGAUUAGAUACCCUGGUAGUCCACGCCCUAAACGAUGAUUACUCGACAUACGCGAUACACAGUGUGUGUCUGAGCGAAAGCAUUAAGUAAUCCACCUGGGAAGUACGUCCGCAAGGAUGAAACUCAAAGGAAUUGACGGGGGUCCGCACAAGCGGUGGAGUAUGUGGUUUAAUUCGAUGAUACGCGAGGAACCUUACCUGGGCUAGAAUGCUAUUUGACCGGUCCUGAAAGGGAAUUUUUGUAGCAAU
rnacentral:rRNA from 1 species